rnacentral:rRNA from 1 species
UACGUAGGGGGCAAGCGUUGUCCGGAUUUAUUGGGCGUAAAGAGCGUGUAGGCGGCUUGGUAGGUCCGCUGUGAAAACUCGAGGCUCAACCUCGAGAUGUCGGCGGAAACCACUUGGCUAGAGUCCGGAAGAGGAGAGUGGAAUUCCUGGUGUAGCGGUGAAAUGCGCAGAUAUCGGGAGGAACACCAGUGGCGAAGGCGACUAUCUGGGUUGUAACUGACGCUGAGGCGCGAAGGCUAGGGGAGCGAACAGG